AGCUUUCAUACUUUAUUAUAUUACCUUCAAUCCAGAAACUUCUACAAGUAGUAGAAGCUACAACCUUCACCCAAAACCCAAUCCAAAAAAUUUUCAUCCUCUUCACAUACAGUAAAUCAAGAAGCUUCUCAUCACUUUAUACCACCAAAAAUAUAGUAUAAUUUUGCUCAGGCUGGUGCUGCAAUUUUCAGAUAUCAGGUUUAACUUUGUGUUGCAGUGAUUGUGUACAUAUGUGUGUUCAGCCUCUUUAAUUUAAGUUUUGCCAACAAGUUUUUGGAGCACAUCUUUUUGCUAAUGCACUGUCAAGCUACUAUCUUUUUGCCACAAGACUGCCUUUUUGAAAAGCUACAUUACAACCAUAUGUGACGCCCCCUGCUUUAAAAAGGUAUUUUGUCAACCAUGGCGUUGCACAACUACAACAUGCAUGAUUACUACUAAGAAAAUACUUUUUCUGUAAAUAUGUAGUAUAAAUGAUGUAUAUAUGACAGUGCAAUCAUCAAUGUAAUAGACAAAUGUAUAUAUGCAUAAACAGUGCAAACUUAUUUUAGUUGUCUUAUACUAUCUUACCUCAUUACUUACAAUAA